CGCAUCUGUGCAUGCAGCAUAUCAAUAAGCGGGGAAAAGAAACUAACAAGGAUUCCCCUAGUAACGGCGAGUGAAGCGGGAAGAGCUCAAAUUUGAAAUCUUAAAGGGUUUCCCUUUACGAAUUGUAGUUUAAAGAAGUGUUUUCUGUUGAGGUUUUGGUAAAAGUUCUUUGGAAUAGGACAUCAUAGAGGGUGAGAAUCCCGUAUUUGACCUUUACUUUCAACUUUGUGAUACACUUUCAAAGAGUCGGAUUGUUUGGGAAUGCAGUCCAAAAUGGGUGGUAAAUUUCAUCUAAAGCUAAAUAUUGGCGAGAGACCGAUAGCGAACAAGUACCGUGAGGGAAAGAUGAAAAGAACUUUGAAAAGAGAGUUAAACAGUACGUGAAAUUGUCAAAAGGGAAGCGUUUGACACCAGUGUUGUUUUUCUGAAAAUCAAUUAAAGAACUGUUUAUGCUAAGUUGUUUAGACUUUAUCAGCUAACUGUUUAGUUUUGAGCUUUUCUUUAAUGCACUUUUCAGUUAACAAGUCAACAUCAAUUUCUUUUGCUGUAAAAAAGCUUGAGGAAGGUGGCUUGAGAUUCGUCUUAAGUGUUUAUAGCCUCUUGCCUAUGCAGUCGGAGAGAUUGAGGUCUGCAGCGUAGAUCCUUCGGGGCUAAAUGCAUUUGUGCUAAGUUAUAGCAUUUUAUAGACAACUUGUUGACUAUGAUUUGUCUUGUAGCUUACUCGCUUAUGUUAUUUUACCUACGCUUAGGAUGUUGAAUCUGUGCGAGACUAC
rnacentral:rRNA from 1 species